rfam:Oryza sativa (indica cultivar-group) chromosome 8, whole genome shotgun sequence.
AAAAAGAUAAACCCUGGGUUUCCGUGUCCAACGUUUGACUGUCCGUUUUAUAUGAAAUUUUUUUAUAAUUAGUAUUUUCAUUGUUGUUAGAUGAUAAAACAUGAUUAAUAUUUUAUGCGUGACUUGUCUUUUUAAUUUUUUUCAUAAUUUUUUCAAAUAAGACGGACGGUCAAACGUUGGACACGGAAACCCAGGGUUUGUCUUUUU